AGAAACGGAACAUAACAUUGCAACUUAAAAUCUACUCUCAAAUUCACCAAGAUAAUAGUAAAAAGACAGAGAAAAAGGCAACUUUCAGUGAUGAAGAUAAGACU